rnacentral:lncRNA from 1 species
GAUGUAGAGGUGGUAGAGCCACUUGAGAACUGCAAUCCUGGUCAUCAUCCCAAUGGCCGUGUCACUGAGGUGGCAGUUUAGGACCUGCACGAUCCCGUCGAGGUGAAGGGUCACUGGGGCUCUUUCAGUGCUGUGGGUAAGAUCGGGAGGGAGAGCAGAGGUGAAGCCCACCAUAGCCCUCUCCCAUGGAGUCAUGGCACCACCCUGGGCCUGCACAUCCUGAGUCACACACUGCUAACCACCGUCUAGGGGGAUCGGGGGUCAGGGAUAACCUGAUCCCACACAUCCUUGCUGGUCUCCCACCAUCCCAGCUCAGCCCAGCCCAGGGGUUUGAAGGGGGCUUCUCUCUCUCCCUUUCCAAAGAAGUUUGGAGCUUGCUGCUGGGCUGGAACCAUGAUAACCAUGUUUUGGGGGAUGAGGACCAGUCUGCUGGGCUCCCACUCACUUUUCCUUUUCUUUCUCCAGCACCAGCCUGGCUUGCACAGGAGGAGAAACCCUCUCCCAGUCACUGAGCUGACCUGACCAGGCUCAAGGCAUUAAGUUCAGACCCUUUCUUGGAAAAACAAAACCACCAGGUCUGGACUGUAUGAGGGAAGGUCCCGAUAACAACUGUUGACCUCCGCCAGGCCCUUCACCGGCCAUCUGAAGGAUGUUUCUCAAGUGAGGUCAGGGAUCGAGGCUUGUCAUUGUGCCUUGCCACUGCACCAGGGCACUCAGCACAUUUGGCCUAGGAGAGACACCCUUGAGAGUUAAGACCAAAAUGCGCUCCUUUGAGUUGGGGAAGGGGUAAACACAGCCUCUGCCUAUGAGAAACGGAUAUUGUUCAGGAGGUACUUUUGUUCUGGUGGGCACAGGAAGCCCCCUGGCUUCUGUGGACUGAAGUCCUGCGGGUCCCCAAAGUUCUGCUAAGCAGCCUGCGGGACAGCGGGUGCUGCUGGGAGGCUUGAGUUGGUUUUUUGCCCAAAGCACUGCUCCCUGGCACAGGCUGGGUUUUCAAGGUGGGGGCAGCAUGGGUAGAAAAACCUCGGGAUAUUGGGGAGGGGCUCCCUUCCUACCGAGGCACUACACUGUACUUCCCAAAUGGUGCCGACAGGUGCAGGCCAGGGGUUGCAUUUUCUAAGGACCUGGGCCAGCAGAUCAGUCCCCUGCCGGUAUAAAACCGUCUCUUCGUGGCAUUUCUAGGCUGCUCAAUUAUUCAUUUGCAUCAGGAACUGAUGGCUGUGCUUUCCUCACUCGCCUGCAGCCUCUCUGAAGCUCAUUUGAUGUGAAUCCCUAAAGGGCAUGAUUCUGCGCUCUGUAAUUGCUGAGAGGAAUUGCUAUUUAAUAUGGUUUGAUGAUCCCCAUGGUGCACAUUUCAGGGGCAAGAGUGGGCACAUCUAUCCUCUGGUGGCCAGGAGCUCCGGGCAUGUGAUACAGCCACAGAGCCUGGAACUGAGUCUCUGGGCGGGUGGCCACUGUGAUAUCCCUAGUGGUCACGUGGCUGGAAGUUCCUGGUGUCUUCUGAGGAUAUCGAAACACUUAAAUCUUUGCUAGCCUGAGACAGACGGGGACAGUACUGUGCAGGUAGAGGAGUCUAGGGCGGUAAACACUGGCCCCGUCAAUCUCUUAAUCAGUUUCUCUCAAGUCCACUGUCCCGCAGAAAUACAACGCAAGUCACAGAUAUAAUUUUACAUCUUCCAGUUUUCAAUUAAAAAGGAGAAACAGGUGAAAUGAAUUUCAAUGCUGUUUUAAUUGACCCAAUGUAUCUAAAAUAUUAGCAUCUCAACAUGUAAUCAAUAUAACAGUGAAUGUAAACAUUCCCAACAAAAUCUAUUCUCUUUUGUGUCCUAAGCCUUUGGGACCUGGUGUGCAUUUCACCGUUACGGUGCACCUCGGUUCAGAGUAGCCAACAGGCACUCAGUAGCCACGUGGCUGCCGCGGAGGCCCACACAACAGUCCACGCCAGGACUUUCUGAGUGUUUCCUUGUCAUCUCUGGCAGUUUCCUAGCCACUCCCUUAGCUGACGGCCAGCAUUUACUGUUUUAUCUCCCAUUCCCUCUUUUUCCCGUCCUGCAGAGCUCCUUCCCUUGCGUUCUGUUCCACACACUUUUUGGGCUGGAAGAAUCCCCUGGCUAGAGAAGCUCAUGUCCUGGUGGUGGAAGAGAUGCCGCCCUACAGCCCAAGGCCUUAUGCAAAGCAGCAAACACCUGAACACAGCGAACCUGAAGGUAUAGGGCAUCUUCAGGCUGCUACUGAGGCGGUCCUGCCGCACUCAACCCAGAACCUCAUCACUAAAAGGAACCUCAUGGUUCAGGUAACACAAUCCUUCAAGGUACGGAUGAGCAAGCCCAGGUCCAGAGGCAGUACGGGACCCAUCUGAGACCAUGAGGCCAUGUACCAAGCAGUCAUUCCCUGGGCUGGAGACACUCUCCCUGGGCUUUUCUUCCCUUGCCUGGCUGGAGGUGGAGGUCAUGGGAAGCAGGUGGACCCUAGAGGACCAGGCAGACUGAUCUUAGUGCCUAGGAAAGGGAGGGUCAAGAUCCCAGCUGCUGUCGGCUCCCAGCUGCUCUGCUGGGCAGGGUUGGCUGCUGCUGCUGAGCUCUGCACAUGCUCAGCAGGGGAACUGGGGCUCUGGGACCCUGCACUCUUCCUAGAGGGCACACUGCAUGAUGUGCUCAGUUCCCCAGCUGCUGGGCCGGAGCCUGAGAGGUAGCACCCUGCUGUCGUGGCUUACCUUACCCAUCAAGAACAGAGGGAGCUCACUCAGUUUAAAAUACAUUUCUGCAUCAGUUCCAAAAAGUCUAGACGAGUCACUCCUGGGGGCUUCUGAGUUAUUUCAAGGUGUCUGCAAAAUUCCAUUUUCAUGGAGCAUUUUCUCAUAAAGCAUCUUAUAAUGAAUGUCUUACACAUACGCGUACUACAGUUUCCAAAUGCAUGGCGCUGCUGUGACU